rnacentral:rRNA from 1 species
AUACGUAGGGGGCGAGCGUUGUCCGGAAUGAUUGGGCGUAAAGGGCGCGUAGGCGGCCCGGUAAGUCUGGAGUGAAAGUCCUGUUUUUAAGAUGGGAAUUGCUUUGGAUACUGUCGGGCUUGAGUGCAGGGGAGGAAAGUGGAAUUCCCAGUGUAGCGGUGAAAUGCGUAGAGAUUGGGAGGAACACCAGUGGCGAAGGCGACUUACUGGACUGUAACUGACGCUGAGGCGCGAAAGUGUGGGGAGCAAACAGGAUUAGAUACCCUGGUAGUCCACACUGUAAACGAUGAAUGCUAGGUGUAGGGGGUAUCGACCCCUUCUGUGCCGCAGUCAACACAAUAAGCAUUCCGCCUGGGGAGUACGGUCGCAAGGCUGAAACUCAAAUGAAUUGACGGGG